AGUGAACGCUGGCGGUAGGCCUAACACAUGCAAGUCGAACGGCAGCACAGUAAGAGCUUGCUCUUACGGGUGGCGAGUGGCGGACGGGUGAGGAAUACAUCGGAAUCUACUUUUUCGUGGGGGAUAACGUAGGGAAACUUACGCUAAUACCUCAUACGACCUACGGGUGAAAGCAGGAGAUCUUCGGACCUUUCGCGAUUGAAUGAGACGAAGUCGGAUUAGCUAGUUGGCGGGGUAAAGGCCCACCAAGGCGACGAUCCGUAGCUGGUCUGAGAGGAUGAUCAGCCACACUGGAACUGAGACACGGUCCAGACUCCUACGGGAGGCAGCAGUGGGGAAUAUUGGACAAUGGGCGAAAGCCUGACGCAGCCAUACCGCGUGGGUGAAGAAGGUCUUCGGGUUGUAAAGCUCUUUUGUUGGGAAAGAGAAGCAGCAGGUUAAUACCUCGCUGUUCUGACGGUACCUAAAGAAUAAGCACCGGCUAACUUCGUG
rnacentral:rRNA from 1 species